UACGCAGGGGGCUAGCGUUGUUCGGACUCACUGGGCGUAAAGCGCACGUAGGCGGAUUUUUAAGUCAGGGGUGAAAUCCCGAGGCUCAACCUCGGAACUGCCUUUGAUACUGAGGAUCUGGAGUCCGGGAGAGGUGAGCGGAACUGCGAGUGUAGAGGUGAAAUUCGUAGAUAUUCGCAAGAACACCAGUGGCGAAGGCGGCUCACUGGUCCGGUACUGACGCUGAGGUGCGAAAGCGUGGGGAGCAAACAGG
rnacentral:rRNA from 1 species